CAAAAGCAGGGGAUGAUGAGCUACCUUUGUUUUGAGAGCGGAAGAAAUCAAAGGUAAAACAUGAAAGGGUUAAUCCUCAUUGCUUGAUUCAAAGGUGAUGAUGAGCUAUCUUUGUUUUGAGCUCGGAAGAAAUCAAAGGUAAAACAUGAAAGGGUUAAUCCUCAUUGCUUGAUUCAAAGGGGAUGAUGAGCUAUCUUUGUUUUGAGCUUGGAAGAAAUCAAAGGUAAAACAUGAAAGGGUUAAUCCUCAUUGGUUGAUUCAAAGGGUUUUUGAAAUAAAAGUAGUUACGAGCCUUUAGGAGUUUGAAUUACAUGCACAUGCAAUAUUUCAAGGUCAGUAACUAUGCUUCACUUCUAGAGAUUUGAUAUUUAGAUAUGUGGAUAUUAUUUUGUUAUGUUUAUGAUGAAUAUUGA